UGACAAAACAUUUUCUUAAACCAAAGCGAACAGACUAUGUUAUCGUUAAUUAUCAUUCUAACAAAACAUUUGAGCAAAGCAUUUUACAUAAAAGAUAUUUGUUGAAAAGUGAAAUGAAAUCGAGAAUGAAAACCCUGAGAAUUAUACUUUUAAAUAAAGAUGAGUCGGUUGUGUAUCAAUCUUUUACCAUUCCUUGCAGAAAAUAUGUGAUCUAAAAGCAAAUUUUGUCAAGCUUUGCAAUCGUUUUGAGGGAACGUACAGCUCAAUAGACAACGAAAAUGACAUUAAAAGGACCAAAUAUACGCACACGCUAGAAAGAGACAAAUUUAUGCUAAAGGAGAAACGUCCAGUUGCCGAUCUCUGCAACAUAUUUGAGGGAAAAAAUAAACUACCAUAUAAACAGUCAAGAACAUUGCAAAAGGAAACACAUAAUGAUAGUUCUGAAAUAAGUGUGCAG